rnacentral:tRNA from 1 species
GGGCGUGUGGUCUAGUGGUAUGAUACACCCUUAGGGUGGGUGUGGCCCUGGGUUCGAUUCCCAGCUCGCCCC